AUUGUUCUCAUGGUAGUGAAUGAGUCUCACAAGAUCUGCGUUUUCUGAGGGGUUUCCCCUUCCACUUGGCUCUCAUUCUCUCUCCUGCCACCCUGUGAAGAGGUGGCUUCUGCCAUGAUUGUGAGGCCUCCCCACCUACGUGGAACUGCCGUUGAGUUCAGCUUAUGGUGAUGGAAAGAGAGAUGUCAAUAAUUCCACAUUUUCUGGCUUGCAUUGUUUGAUGAAAGGUGACCCCAUUCCCUGAGUUAAAGAAUGCUGAAAGAAGACCAGGCUUGAGGAGGAAGGAUCAUGCAUUUGCUUUUGGACCUGUAGAGUUUGAGGACAUGUUCAGCACCAGGAGGAAUUUGCAUCCAAGUCCGUCUCCCUGCUAAGUGGUAUUUUGAGAAUUCCGAAGCUUAGUCUCAGAGAAGAGCUGACCUGAACUUGCCGAGGCUCCCACUGCAUUGUAGCUUUUCUCUGGAGAACAAAAACUGCCAUUGUCCAGCAGCUCAUUAGCAUGACUGUACAGCCUCCGGAGUUAGCAAGGUGAUGCAAAAAUAAUAUGACAAGAUCCAUGUCUUCAAUGAGCUACAAUCCUACUGGGACAUGAGACUGUGCUUAUAAUAUGAUGAAAGAAUAAGAAAAUUUUAAAGAUGAAAACACAGCAGCAACAGGUGCCAUUUUGGAAGCAAGAAGCAGAGAACAAGCUCUCACUGGGCAUUAAAUCUGCCGGCAUCUUGAUCUUGAACUUCUCAACCUCCAGAACUCUGAGAAAUAAAUUUCUAUUAUUUACAAAUUA
rnacentral:lncRNA from 1 species